AGACCGCCUGGGGAGUACGGCCGCAAGGUUAAAACUCAAAUGAAUUGACGGGGGCCCGCACAAGCGGUGGAGCAUGUGGUUUAAUUCGAUGCAACGCGAAGAACCUUACCUGGUCUUGACAUCCACAGAACUUUCCAGAGAUGGAUUGGUGCCUUCGGGAACUGUGAGACAGGUGCUGCAUGGCUGUCGUCAGCUCGUGUUGUGAAAUGUUGGGUUAAGUCCCGCAACGAGCGCAACCCUUAUCCUUUGUUGCCAGCGAUUAGGUCGGGAACUCAAAGGAGACUGCCAGUGAUAAACUGGAGGAAGGUGGGGAUGACGUCAAGUCAUCAUGGCCCUUACGACCAGGGCUACACACGUGCUACAAUGGCGCAUACAAAGAGAAGCGACCUCGCGAGAGCAAGCGGACCUCAUAAAGUGCGUCGUAGUCCGGAUUGGAGUCUGCAACUCGACUCCAUGAAGUCGGAAUCGCUAGUAAUCGUGGAUCAGAAUGCCACGGUGAAUACGUUCCCGGGCCUUGUACACACCGCCCGUCACACCAUGGGAGUGGGUUGCAAAAGAAGUAGGUAGCUUAACCUUCGGGAGGGCGCUUACCACUUUGUGAUUCAUGACUGGGGUGAAGUCGUAACAAGGUAACCGUAGGGGAACCUGCGGUUGGAUCACCUCCUUACCUUAAAGAAGC
rnacentral:rRNA from 1 species